GGAUGUGAGGGAGAUUUGUCACCUCAGUGAUCACCAGGGUUGAUCCAGCUGAUCUGACUGGCAAGGCGGGUGUCCCUUUCCCUCCCAAAGCUGCGUGCUCACUUAAAGAGGAUGAUGACCCCCAAUAGAGGAGGAACUUCUCUUCCCUCAAGGGUAUAUGAGUAGCUGUGCUCCUCUGUGAGACCUCUGCACAAGAUCUCAAGGAAAAGAGGGACGGGGUCAGUAGAUGUGAAAUUGCUAAGA
rnacentral:snRNA from 1 species